rnacentral:rRNA from 1 species
AACGAACGCUGGCGGCAGGCCUAACACAUGCAAGUCGAGCGGACCCUUCGGGGUUAGUGGCGGACGGGUGAGUAGCGCGUGGGAAUAUGCCCUUCUCUACGGAAUAGUCCUGGGAAACUGGGGGUAAUACCGUAUACGCCCUUUGGGGGAAAGAUUUAUCGGGGAAGGAUUAGCCCGCGUUGGAUUAGGUAGUUGGUGGGGUAAUGGCCUACCAAGCCGACGAUCCAUAGCUGGUUUGAGAGGAUGAUCAGCCACACUGGGACUGAGACACGGCCCAGACUCCUACGGGAGGCAGCAGUGGGGAAUCUUAGACAAUGGGGGCAACCCUGAUCUAGCCAUGCCGCGUGAGUGAUGAAGGCCUUAGGGUUGUAAAGCUCUUUCAGCUGGGAAGAUAAUGACGGUACCAGCAGAAGAAGCCCCGGCUAACUCCGUG